ACCCAUGGCCACACCGUCUUGGGUGCACUUAUUUUUGUCUGAUUUCAAAAGCUAUGCAGAGCUGAGCCUGGUCAGUACCUGGAUGGGAGAACACCCAUGGAACAUCAGAGAGAGAUGUGUA
rnacentral:rRNA from 1 species